CUCAUGGAGAGUUUGAUCCUGGCUCGGGAUGCACGUUAGCGGCAUGCUUAACACAUGCAAGUCGAACGGGAAGUAGUGUUUCUAGUGGCGAAUGGGUGAGUAACGCAUAAGAACAUGUCUUUGGGAGGGGAACAACAACUGGAAACGGUUGCUAAUACCCUAUAGGCCGAGGAGCAAAAGGAGAAAUC
rnacentral:ncRNA from 1 species